rnacentral:tRNA from 1 species
GCCUUCGUGGUGUAAUGGUCAGCACAUUCGGUGGCAAUUCGAAAGGUCCGAGGUUCGAGUCCCGAGAAGGCA